AUUUUUUAUGGAAAGUGUUAAAGUUGAUAUCUGAAGUAAAUAUGAGAUAACGACCUUCACACUUUAACCGGACGCUGUAUUAGAUGCUUUAAUAUACCUAACUAAACAUGCUUUUUCUAAAGUCCGACCAAGAUAUCCACUUUGAGACUUUUCAAGACAUUGUAAUAACAGAUUAAGCAGCCUGAUGCUCUAGAGGUGUGAUAUGAUCUAUAAUGUCUGGUAUUAAUCUUUCUGAACUGUCUCCAUGUGGUUGACAAUAAGUGUACAUAAAAUUCUUUGAGUAAACAAGAAAUUUGUAGUUCUAAGAUCUAAGGUGCUAAUAAUAAAUAUACACCUGUGACAGAAACAGAGAGCUGAUUUCAUCUGAAUAUUUCUUUUUCAAAAACAACUAAAUAAUUUUUGUUUUCAUAUACAUUCCUUACAUGUAAAUUUAUUAAUAACUAUACUAUUUACAUCAGCCCCCCCCCCCCAAUGAAAAAAUCGCA